rnacentral:rRNA from 1 species
AGAGCUUGCUCUUUGGGUGACGAGCGGCGGACGGGUGAGUAAUGUCUGGGAAACUGCCUGAUGGAGGGGGAUAACUACUGGAAACGGUAGCUAAUACCGCAUAACGUCGCAAGACCAAAGUGGGGGACCUUCGGGCCUCAUGCCAUCAGAUGUGCCCAGAUGGGAUUAGCUAGUAGGUGAGGUAAUGGCUCACCUAGGCGACGAUCCCUAGCUGGUCUGAGAGGAUGACCAGCCACACUGGAACUGAGACACGGUCCAGACUCCUACGGGAGGCAGCAGUGGGGAAUAUUGCACAAUGGGCGCAAGCCUGAUGCAGCCAUGCCGCGUGUAUGAAGAAGGCCUUCGGGUUGUAAAGUACUUUCAGCGAGGAGGAAGGCGUUAAGGUUAAUAACCUUGUCGAUUGACGUUACUCGCAGAAGAAGCACCGGCUAACUCCGUGCCAGCAGCCGCGGUAAUACGGAGGGUGCAAGCGUUAAUCGGAAUUACUGGGCGUAAAGCGCACGCAGGCGGUCUGUCAAGU